rnacentral:rRNA from 1 species
AUUGAACGCUGGCGGCAUGCCUUACACAUGCAAGUCGAACGGCAGCACGGGAGCAAUCCUGGUGGCGAGUGGCGAACGGGUGAGUAAUGUAUCGGAACGUACCUUUCAGUGGGGGAUAACGUAGCGAAAGUUACGCUAAUACCGCAUAUUCUGUGAGCAGGAAAGCAGGGGAUCGCAAGACCUUGCGCUGAUUGAGCGGCCGAUAUCAGAUUAGCUAGUUGGUGAGGUAAAGGCUCACCAAGGCGACGAUCUGUAGCGGGUCUGAGAGGAUGAUCCGCCACACUGGAACUGAGACACGGUCCAGACUCCUACGGGAGGCAGCAGUGGGAAUUUUGGACAAUGGGCGCAAGCCUGAUCCAGCCAUGCCGCGUGAGUGAAGAAGGCCUCGG